GAAAGAGAUGUAUAUUGUGUUUUUAAAAUUUAAGAAGCCGACUUAAUAUUCUUAUUAUUAUUUUUCUUGCUUUAUGCUAUCACUGUGAACUGGAGAAUUUUGAUAUAUUAUCUUUUCACAGACGCAUCAUCUCGAACUUUCCAUUAGACACCGGUCUUGGCAGUUCGACAUUAUAUUCGCAGCAUGCUUUCUUCUUUCGGAGGAUAUACAGAAUAAUACACGUGAUAUUCGUGAUUUGAUCAUCUUUUUUUGAUGCCAGUUAGACGUUUCGCUAAAAGAUGCGAACAAAUGAUGCAAGACUUUAGAUAUAUUUGCCAGGAAAAGUACGAUCAACCAAUAAAAUGGCAGUGCUGAAAUCUGCACUUCCUGACACAUUUAUUACUAUGUUAAAUGAAUUAAAUAGAUUUGUAAAAAUAUAUAUAUAAAUAUCUGCGUCUUCUAAACCGUAAUAUUCAAAAUGCCAAUUUACCUCAACAGCAAUUGUAUUAUGAUAAAUUACAGUAUUACAUUAGAGAGACUCAACUAUUAUUAAAGAAUCAUGACAUAUCCAAUGAGCCAUUCAAUCAUAUUUUCGAAAAAGCAAGCUCCAUUGAAUACUCUGCAAAGCUUACAGGUUUUGGACCUAGAUAUUCAUAUAUUGUGUUACUACCGAGCUUUACAAACGGAGAAAUCGUGGAUAUUAUAAUACAGUUUAAGAAUACAAAUUUAACUCCUACACUUACAAGCAUUAAUCGUGAUGCUGUAACACUUGAUGAAUACCAUUGUGAUUAAUUCUGUUAAAAUUAUCGCGUUUAUUAUAUAUAAAUGACUAAAUAAUAACAUCUAAUUGAUUGUAAAAAAAUUUGUCGGAAUUAUGCAUGAAUACUGUAAUAUUCAAAGAAAUGACGAAGAGUAUACAUUUUUUUUCAAUGUAUGAAUAUAUACUACAAUAUAUAUGUUGCUUAAAAACUGCGGUUUUAUAAUGACGUCAUAUUGAAUUAUAAAAUCAAAGGUCUUAAAUCAUUUAACAUUUUUCUCGUCAAAAUUGUCGAAAGAUAUUGAGUCUCUUCGUAUUCUAUCUUAUAUUAAGCUUUAAAAAUAUAGGCGAUCUUGAGUCGAGAUCAUG